UUGGUAACCAUUUGGGAGAUACCAUGACAAAGACCAUGGCUUUCCCACAGUGAGAGUCAUUCCUUAAACACAUAUGUGCUGACACCUGUGAUUUCCCCAAAGGUGGGAAACUCAGCUGUAUAACUUGGUCAUAGUGCUCUGUUAGCAUUCUCUGG
ensembl:snRNA U1 U1 spliceosomal RNA